GAUGAAGAACGUAGCGAAAUGCGAUAAGUAAUGUGAAUUGCAGAAUUCAGUGAAUCAUCGAAUCUUUGAACGCACAUUGCGCCCCCUGGAAUUCCGGGGGGCAUGCCUGUUCGAGCGUCUCAGGGACGAACCCUCGCGCGGGUGUACGCGCGGUCGUGGCUGCGGUGGCGUGCCCGAGGCGGCUGCCACCGCGCUGGAAUCCAUGGGCGGACGCCUGCCGCGUGGCCGAGCGUGAUAUGACGCAUUGGCGCUCGCACGCGGCGAGGCUGCCAGCCCUGGCCCGUCUGUCGGGCGGGGGAGAGCAAGACACGUGAACUCCUCGAAUCAGGUAGGGAUACCCGCUGAACUUAAGCAUAUCAAUAAGCGGAGGA
rnacentral:misc_RNA from 1 species